AAAAUUGUAACAUCAAGCAAAAACAGUAGAGGGAUGUAGCUUCACCUUGAUGUUGGUAGUGGUGAAGCGAUCAAGCGGAAUUGGCUGCAUCACAACUAGUUGUAAUGAAAACAGCGCCACCUAUCGUAUCGGAUAUGACGAUAUGCUUUCAGCCAACGAUUCGAUUUAUUCACUGCCAUGUAUAUUGGGGUAAUAGCACCUCCCCCCGAAAGAUAGCAUAGUCCGACUAAGCAAAGAUUCAAAUUAUACCAUGAUGUAAACACACUGAGGGAUAUUGGCGUAUUGGCUUUUUGCCGUAUAUGUUGAAGAAUACAGGAUCGAAGUGGGAUUACGGGUUUUUCGCUGGUAAAAACACUGCUUAUUCUGCCAUUUAUUUUGUAUUUGAUUGUAAGUGACUGCUUAAUUUUUUUCAUUUUAACGUCUAAUUGAUUGGAACACUUCUGUAAAUCAAAAUAGAAAUAAAUGUAUUAAAUACAAUUAUUUAAUAAACAUUUGCCUGCCUUUCCUACCCUGACUGCACGUCACCGGCUAAAGGGAUGUUAAUCCCACUCAUCAGGUUUUUUGUUUGUUGCCACAGUUCUUUCCCUCUUUGUCUGCUUUCCUGCACUUCUCCAUCUCUCUGUCUCGCUCUAUCGCUCUCCCUGCCACGGCAUUUCUACUCACUUCUCUCUCCAUCUCCCUAAACAUUUCAAAAGAAUGAAUUACUUCGGGCUGUCACUUGGCCCUGGCCAAGAAUUCAUUUUUGUGGGUCAAGUGUUUCAGACUGUCAUCUUUGACAGGAACCAUCUCAUACAAUAACUACAUGGAUGGACCUUGACUUGAAGUGCUUUCCUCCCCCUCCGCCCCUCCUCUCUUCAUAUGCAUGCUAAGAAGAUCUUUGUUGGUGCAGAGGGAGGGAUUCAGCGACGGGAGCGUUAGGGAAAGCAGUCAAAAGGGCGGCAACAGAGCUCAAUGCCGGAUUAAUACAUUCAACAACACGCAAAGUUCUCAGGGGAGUGAAAAACAUCAGGGGAUCCAGGCGGGCAGCCCACUGAAACGCUCCAACAAGUGGAUGAAAAAAAGAGUCACAUGACGCGAUGAAAGCGCUGCAACAUUCAUCUGUGCCAAGGUCUUCAGCCAAACGAACGCCUAAAAGAAAAAGGGAAACGCAUGAAACGGUUUUCGGCCGGCUGCGUUUUGGAGGAGGUAAAGAUGGCGUGGAAGUGAAAGUCUUGCCCGUGUUGGCCGGGGACAGCAGGGCUUCAAUGGCAUUGGGCUCGAGCAGACAAUCUAUCUAUUUACAGUGUGCUCAGGGGAGCUUAUAAACAAAUGUUGAGUAAUUUCAGCCAGGAGUAAUUACCCUUGCCGCUGACAAGGAGAGUGUGUUAGCAUUCCCCUUCACCCUCGGCCCUGUCCAGAAGGCUUCGAAGCUUGUGUGUACGCACGCACACACACACACACACACACACACACCGACAUGCAUAGAUGCACAUCCACAAUAGAGAAUUUCCUCGUUAAAGUGUGCCGUUUGUCCUGCAGUCAAUACCAAGAACACCUCCCCUGCCUCUUGUUUUUCUCUGUCCAGACUGUAUUUAAGAAGCUGAUUCCAGGAGCCUGGAAAUGCUCCAGUCAAAAUAUGAAUGAGUUUGUUGAUUUGCUUCAUCUGAUCAUUCACGUGUGGGCAACUGGGUGAGAAUUUACCACGGGAAGCCUUCCGUUUUCUUUUUGUAUGGCUCUCUAGCGGCAUUGAGAGAAAAGGCCAGCGUUGGCAAUGUUUCAGUUUUUAUUGCUCUUAAAUUACCUCGUAAACUGAAAAACCAUGAGCUCCUCUUCCUAAUCGUGCAGUUCUGUUGCCUGAAGCCAAAGUUGUUUCGGUAAUGACGGUAUGCGCAAGUGAGAGGUCAUAUUCUUUCCAUUCUGUGUGAGAUCACAUAAACGUUAAGGCUCUCUUUACAUGUAAAGAACAUAGUCAUGGCACAACAGUUUCAAUAAUGUGAAAAUAAUAAUACAUAUACAGUUUGGGGGCUAAAAACCCUUUGAUUGAGAAAAUAUAUAUUAUCAAAUUUGGAGCAUCGUUGCAAAACAGAACAUAUAUAUAUAUAUAUAUAUAUAUAUAAUCUUUUGUUAUUUGCAUGAAGGGUUGCUGCAAGGCAGCAGCUCCCUCCCCUUCAUUAGGAUUCUGUACGGUCAUCAGGCCAAUAGAUCGUGUGAUCGAAUAAAACAAACAAGCAAUCAAAGUCACAUUCAUUUCUUCAUUGUUUCACAUUUUAAUCAUUUCCAAGACUUAAUUACAGGAUUGAAAUGUAACUAACAAACAGGCAAAUUAAUUUUCACCUUAACCUUUGGAAGGCGAGCGGGCCAGAUACAGGCUUUAUCCCUCCGAAUCGAUUAUGAUCUCUCGGCUCUAACCCAACGGAUUCCCAUGCAAAUUUAGCCGGAUCAAUCCGCAUUCCUGCCGAAUCAAUGAGAAAACAAGCUUUUCCACACCUGCAUGUGACAAUUGCUUGAUUGGGAGAUGAUGUGAUAACCAGUGGUCCGCCAUAGCACAUUUUAUAUGAAAUCAACACGUGCGCUUGAAAUGCAGCCAGUUUUAUGUGUAGAAAUUAAAAGAAAUUACUGCAGCACGGGAGGAGCGUUAAGGGAAAGCAUGAGAACAAGUCCUACCUCGCAUUCAACUCUUUAAAUAUCCAACGAACGCAGCUUAACAAAGGCACAGUGGAGGCCCUUUGUCCUCUUUUGUCCUUUGUCGCUGUUCACCGGGGCUUCCCACUGAGUCCCACUGAGCAGAGUAAGGAUGUGAGCGGUGGCUGCUUCAUAACCGGUUAUCAAAUAUGCUCUAGUGUUGAAAGUGUUAAACAGCAAGGGAAGUGUUUGGUGUGAGAUAUGCAAACCGAGCAAAACAUCUGGGAGGCAGAGAGGGAAGUGGAUGGAAUUUCCCCACUGCGAAAAAAAAAAAGGUUAUGCAAUGUAAUUGUCAUGAGGUAGCCAGGUAAAGAAAAAGCACCUAAGAGCCUCUCAUUGGCGACGUCAUUCCUGCAGUGCACAAGCUAGUAGCUACAUGAGACUUCAAUGUGUUAUUUUUACACUUUAGUUAGUGGAUGAAAUAAACAAGAGGACCGAUAGUCAAGGAUUUAUUGAAUUUAAAGGACAGCUCCUUACUAGAGAUGUCACAAUACUAAAAUUAUGACCGAUGCGAUGCCUGUCAUAAUUCUCCUGGUAUCCGAUACUUGCUACAAUACCAGAAUUCGAUAAUACCAUUCGAUAAUAUCGCAAUGCCACAAAUACUAUAAGAUACUGAUAUAUUUAUAACAGUAAUAAAUAAAACAUCUCCCUUUUUACCAGCUUUUUGAACAAAUAACAAUUUACAUUAAUAUCAGUAUUAGCCUACAGCGAGAUAUUCAUUUUAUUUAGUAUAGCCCAAAAUCCCAAAUUGGCCUCAGAGGGCUUUAUGGUCUGUAAACAUGCGACAUCCUCUGUCCGGAAACCCUCACAUCGGCACAGGAAGAAUUCCCCAAAUAAAAAAACCUUUGAUGAGGAAAAAAGGGAAGAACGGCAGAGGACGGGUCCCGGCAUGGACAGACGACACAGCAUUGAUUAUACACAGCUAUGAAUGUAGCCAAAAUUAUUCUAGAUUUCUCUUCUGCAGCCUUUUUUUUUUGCAACAAGCCAAGGACGGUCGACAAGAGCUUGUGCACUCGAGGCCAUGAACCAAACCCUCACACCUGAACCCUCAGGGACUUAUCUGAUGUCAUCGGGUAAAUGGUUGAGUGGGAGGGUCUGUGAGGGCUUUAAAUUGUGUAAAUAUGAAUGGGACGGCACCUUUUCUGCAAGAUGUCCUGUCACCACGACAACGUCAUAAAUAUGAUCUACAUUCAAGGGUAUUUAUUCAAUACUUUUUACUCUGAUUUGAACGUAUUUCCUCAUAUAAUAAGAGGUCAUUUUAAAUGUUUUUACGUUUUUGUCAAAAUUGCUUCAAUAAUUAAAUUGUAUUGUAAAUUUCAUGUGCAUUUUUCUUUAAUCCCUGAUGCUUUACAUGUCUACAUGUUAAUAUGAAAGUCUGAACACACAUCCCUGCUUUCACUGGUUAUCCCCUUUUUUACGUUACACACAUGACUUGCGUGUAAUUCCCUUGGGCUGUCAGCAUCCAAUGCUGAUAUACACAAAGGGUUCAUAAAGGGCUCAAAAUGUCUGGCAGAGAGCCCUCAAACACUCAACGAUUCGACAAUGAGACAGAACUAAACCCUCAGAGUUAUUGGGAGAGCGCCUCAAAGUCCCCCAGUGCGUAAAGAUGCAGAUUGGGCGCAUGGCUGCCAUGCGAUCGUGCACUGUGAGCACUGGGCAGCCCAGCACUAUUUGAACUAAGUAUCAAUACUUACAAUAUGCUAAAUCAAUUUGUUAUAUUAACCUUUUAGUAGCAAUAAAAUAGGUCAAAAUUACUCAUUACUUUCUUGAUCCUAAUCCAACCCAAUCAGCGGGCUCCAGCUACAUAUUUUAUCAAACUUAACAUGAGAUUGUAUCAAUCUACAGUUUAAGGUUAAAAAUGUCUUACUAUUUUGUGGGUAUGUAAAAUUAUUGCUGAAAGACAUUUCACAGGCACCAAUUCAGUCGAGGGUAAGUCUAAUAUUCACUCCUUUUUCUGCUCUUCUUUGGUCUCCACCAUCAACUACGGCAGCACCAUUCACAUUACACAGAGCAUAUGUAUUAAACCGUAUGCAGAUUUGAAGAGCUCAUUCUAACCAGUCUUACUACACAAGCAAACACAAAGCACCCUGACCGGCUACAGACUGGCCCUUUAAUAAUGUCUACACUUUUCUAUUAUUAUAACAAUUAUUACAUUUACCUGAAAAGCAUAUAAUGAUAAAACAAUAUAUAUUUAAUUGUAUUUUCCAAAACGUCAUAGCAUGAUUUGUUUCAUUUAAAUCCUCAUAUAUUGUCAGAGACUCCCUAUAACCAGUCAACACGUUUCAUCUCGUUGGUUUCACAAUGCCGGGUGAAGCAACUCCAUCAAAAGUUUAGAAAAAAGCUUUACUUAUGGUAGAAAAAUUGCAUCACUUGUAUUAGCUGGGAAUAGAAGUCUGGUCACAGGAGAAAAAGUCCCGCAUUGCUGAACAAUUUCAAUGUCAGACUUCUCCGCCGUGUCCUCCACAUCAUAAUCACAGGGGGAAAAUACACUAUACAUCCCACUUAUAGGCUACAUCAUUUGCAUUUCAACGCAUUAUGCUCAGCUGGUAUAUUCAACCUCAGUACGUAUACAGUACUUGUGUGUGCAUAUACUGCACCUGUGUAUGUUUCAGUAGAAGGGAUUGCAUACUUUGUCCUUGCUUUGAGCUUUUUUUUUUCCAGCUGAAAUAUUAUGCUCCGGUACGGUAAGCGCCAUUGUGUUGCCUUGGCCGAGGACUGCAGGAAGUUGUGCUUGGCACCGAGCCCAGAAGCAAGGUGAGGACAAACACUCCUAAUAAACACUCACUCACAUCCACAAAUCUACGGACGCUUACCUGCUGCAUAGUACACAUUGGUAGCGUGUGUGUGUGUGUAGUGGGGAGUCGAUGCAUUCGAGCAGGUCCACCUUUUCAUCUGAGUCGAGAUUUUGGAAAGGCUUCACUUUGCACAGGCUCCCUUAAUUCUCCCUUAAUUCAUUUGUGCUCCGGAUUCACUUGCGGCCGGGAUAACCCGGGAAUCAUAAUGAAGUGGUGGUGGAGAGAAAGAGAUUGAGGUGGACGAGAGGGGAGAAGGGGGGGGACAUGAAAACAUCACAGCAGAUUGCUCCUUCCUAUCUACCCCUUUGAAUGUGUUGCGGAAUGGAUUUAGGGCUUUUCAGCGAGUCUUUUAAGAGAAGAUGGAUCUUAUUAGCGCUGAUUGCUACUCAUAGGACGUCUUCUGCCUCGGGAACCCAGCUUACUUAACCCGUUCACAGAUGCACAGGGAUUGUAACAUUACUAGAAUCUGGGCUUUAUCCGUUUUAUCAAAUAUGUAUCUGGUAUUGACACCACUUAUUGAGUUUGAGUCCUUUGAAAUGUCUCACCCCAUCGGCUGUGUUUUAGACAGACCCUGAUUAAGAAUUUUUCUUUUUAACACCACUUGAGCUUAUGGCAACUAUUGGUUAAGGCCGGACAUGGAUUGGGUAAUUUCUACACUUGUUUUAGGGUUUGUGUAAUACUGUGGUGAAGUUGAAUAAAAAAGUUAACGUCUGGCAGACCCCUGUUCUUUAUAUGUACUUUGUGUAUAAUGUUUGUGUACCGAACAUUGCGGUCGAAGUGGGGGGGGGUGUGGCACUGACUGUCCAACCGGCAAGCGGUGCUGUCAACAUAUCCGGGAACACAAUUCUGACCUUUCACAAUAAGAUAUCCCGCUUUAACACCUCCAAAUAGCGCAAUAAAAAGCCUUUUCAUCGACUGAGCAUUGCCCGACCGCCGCCUGAGUGAGUCUUAACACGGUGUGUUCAGGUCAGAGCCGGACACACAAAACUGUUACGUUAGCUCAGUAGCCAUUAAUCCGGCGCCUAGCUAACCAGCCAUUAUUCCGGCACCUAGCUAAUCAGCCAAUAAUCGGUCUAGUUGUGUUUGCUCCUGCAAUAAAAUGUCCUUUCCCCGCGAUGCCAACAUCCGCUAUUUUCAUUUUUCCAUUUUUAGGAUGAUAUCCGCUCUACAAUUAUUCUAUUUUUAUGGUGACUGACUU
ensembl:lncRNA